rnacentral:rRNA from 1 species
UGGGGAAUCUUGCGCAAUGGGGGAAACCCUGACGCAGCAACGCCGUGUGAGUGAUGAAGGCUUUCGGGUCGUAAAGCUCUGUCAGAUGGGAAGAAUUAGUCUGCUGAAAAUAUUGGCAGAUGAUGACGGUACCAUCGAAGGAAGCACCGGCUAACUCCGUGCCAGCAGCCGCGGUAAUACGGAGGGUGCAAGCGUUGUUCGGAAUUAUUGGGCGUAACGCGCGUGUAGGCGGAUGAAUAAGUCAGGUGUGAAAUCCCUUGACUCAAUCAAGGAACUGAACGUGAAACUAUUUGUCUCGAGUACGAUAGGGGAGGGCGGAAUUCCCAGUGUAGAGGUGAAAUUCAUAGAUAUUGGGAGGAACACCAGAGGCGAAGGCGACCCUCUGGAUCGAUACUGACGCUGAGACGCGAAAGCGUGGGUAGCAAACA